UACGUAGGGUGCGAGCGUUAAUCGGAAUUACUGGGCGUAAAGCGUGCGCAGGCGGCGCGUUAAGACAGGUGUGAAAGCCCCGAGCUUAACUUGGGAAUUGCGCUUGUGACUGGCGUGCUGGAGUGUGGCAGGGGGAGGUGGAAUUCCACGUGUAGCAGUGAAAUGCGUAGAGAUGUGGAGGAACACCGAUGGCGAAGGCAGCCUCCUGGGCCAGCACUGACGCUCAUGCACGAAAGCGUGGGGAGCAAACAGG
rnacentral:rRNA from 1 species